AAAAAGUUCUGGAUUUUACCUCUUUCUUGUUCUUCCUCUGAGCUUCAUCUGCUCAGACGUGCUUUAAGAAAAAGUUUUAACAUUUUAAAUAGUUUUAAGGCAAAAAAAUUCUGGAUUUUACCUCUAAAUUCUUCCUGUGGCUCUUGAGCAAGGCAGCAGCAACAGUGCUGUAGAAAUCUAUUUCAUGUUAAUCUGUCCUCAAAGUCCUAUGGAAUAAAAG